AUUUCUAUAGCUCAAAGAGAUAGAGUAUAGUAUUGAAGAUACUAGGGUAACAGGUCUUGUUUAGAAAUA
rnacentral:tRNA from 1 species